rnacentral:rRNA from 1 species
GACGAACGCUGGCGGCGUGCUUAACACAUGCAAGUCGAGCGGUAAGGCUCCUUCGGGAGUACACGAGCGGCGAACGGGUGAGUAACACGUGAGCAAUCUGCCCUUCACACGGGGAUAACCCUCGGAAACGAGAGCUAAUACCCGAUACGACCACUUCAGGCAUCUGAUGGUGGUGGAAAGUUCCGGCGGUGAAGGAUGAGCGCGCGGCCUAUCAGCUUGUUGGUGGGGUAACGGCCCACCAAGGCAACGACGGGUAGCCGGCCUGAGAGGGUGACCGGCCACACUGGGACUGAGACACGGCCCAGACUCCUACGGGAGGCAGCAGUGGGGAAUAUUGGACAAUGGGCGAAAGCCUGAUCCAGCAACGCCGCGUGAGGGAUGACGGCCUUCGGGUUGUAAACCUCUUUCAGCAGGGACGAAGCGCAAGUGACGGUACCUGCAGGAGAAGCACCGGCCAACUACGUGCCAGCAGCCGCGGUAA